GUGGGUUGAAGACAAGACCUCUCCUUUUCCUGCUGACAUUUCUUCCAUGAGCAGUACCCAGACAGCCGACAGAAAGAGCCCAGGAGAUCAAUGGUGGUGUUGGAUCAAAAUUGUAGCUCACAAGGAAAAUCCUGUAAAGGAACCAUAUUUUUCUGUGUUGCCUGCCAAAAUGAGAACAUCAUUUGUUAAAUAAUGUGGGACACAGGUGCCCCGGAUGUACUAUUUAAUGGAGAAAGAAAAAGAGAGAAACAAUGGCUGCCAGUAUCCGGGAAAAAUGCGACUAGCUUCUUAAGCUUCUUCACCCAGAAAUUGUUACAAAUAGAAGGGAAUCUGACUUUGAGCUAUGAGUUGUUGCUUCCCCAUGACUGAAUUCCCCAAGAACUGAGUUAUUACUGACCUGUGAUUUGCUCAUCA
rnacentral:lncRNA from 2 species